AACACGCAGGCAUCACACAGAGCGCUGAGCACCACAAAAGGCCGGGGCCAGCCAAGAAACAAGUUUGAGCUUUAACUCUGCAGCUCCCAGCGCCGCUCCUGCGAAACCCACGACCUCUGCCGCGUGCAGGAGGGCUGGGGCUUCUUAAAAAGAAAAAAAAGGGACGUCCGGCCACCAACCACGAGAGCAGCCGGAGAAAGAGAAGAAAGCAAAGCCGGUUCCUUAAAUCCUGGGGGCGAGAGGAUUUCAGAGCCAUGAGCGGCGGAGAGCGGCGAGCGGGCGCCGAGGCUGGAAACCAGGUCACAGGCGGGAGAGUCCUGACCCCGGCGCCAGAAGUUGGAGGGGACACAUGCUCUGCCCCCAGCUCUCCUCCAGCGGGGCGCGGGCGCUCGGUCCUCCCGCUCCUCCUGCUCGCGGCGGAGCUUUUCCAGCCGGCUGCAGCCGCGGUUGUUAAGGUGGAUGGAAGCGCCUCCGGUAUUUUCUCCCCUACCUCCUCGCUCAGCAGCCUGGGGCUACGGGGAGGGGAGGCUGUGCAGUUUCAGGAGAUGCCCGAUGUUGCCAAGAAAGAAUAAUAAAUAAAUAAA